rnacentral:rRNA from 1 species
UACGUAGGGGGCUAGCGUUGUCCGGAUUUAUUGGGCGUAAAGAGCGUGUAGGCGGCCAGGUAGGUCUGGUGUGAAAACUCGAGGCUUAACCUCGAGAUGUCAUCGGAAACCAUCUGGCUAGAGUCCGGAAGAGGAGAGUGGAAUUCCUGGUGUAGCGGUGAAAUGCGCAGAUAUCAGGAGGAACACCGGUGGCGAAGGCGGCAUCCUGGACCGAGAUUGACGCUGAUGCGCGAAAGCCAGGGGAGCAAACGGG